UACGGAGGGGGCGAGCGUUAUUCGGAAUCAUUGGGCGUAAAGGGCGUGUAGGCGGCUCUGUAUGUCUCAUGUGAAAGCCCCCGGCUCAACCGGGGAAUUGCAUGGGAAACUGCGGGGCUUGAGUCCGGGAGAGGAGAGCGGAAUUCCCAGUGUAGCGGUGAAAUGCGUAGAUAUUGGGAGGAACACCCGUGGCGAAGGCGGCUCUCUGGACCGGCACUGACGCUGAGACGCGAAAGCUAGGGUAGCAAACGGG
rnacentral:rRNA from 1 species